GAUGAACGCUAGCGGCAGGCCUAGUACAUGCAAGUCGAACGGUGUCUUCGGACAUAGUGGCGCACGGGUGCGUAACAUGUAUGCAACCUACCUUACAUUGGGGGAUAGCCUUUCGAAAGGGAGAUUAAUACCGCAUAAGACAGUAGCUGGGCAUCCAGCAGCUGUUAAAGAUUUAUCGAUGUAAGCUGGGCAUGCGUCCAAUUAGCUAGUUGGUGAGGUAACGGCUCACCAAGGCAAUGAUUGGUAGGGGAACUGAGAGGUCAAUCCCCCACACUGGCACUGAGAUACGGGCCAGACUCCUACGGGAGGCAGCAGUAGGGAAUAUUGGGCAAUGGACGCAAGUCUGACCCAGCCAUGCCGCGUGCAGGAUGAAGGCGUUAUGCGUUGUAAACUGCCUUUAUACAGGAAGAAACGACUCUUGCGAGAGGCAUUGACGGUACUGUAUGAAUAAGCACCGGCUAACUCCGUGCCAGCCGCCGCUGUAAUAC
rnacentral:rRNA from 1 species